UUCUGGACGGUAAUGGCUGUCUACUGGUCAUUUCUAUUGCUGCCAUCUGAUGGCAGGGGAGAAGGGGUAUUAUUUUACUGUGAGUUAUCUGAGCAUAGCACGUUUGAUCUUUUUUCAGCUCUUGGGCUUCCUUUGGCAUGUUUUCUUUGGGAGGGCCCCAGCUGGUGAUGUUGUAAAGCCUGCUCUCCCUCUUCUACAGCAGCCAGGCAACCCAGGGUCCUGCCCUGGUGUUAAAAGAAUGACAAAGGUCUCUGUUAACUUCUGGACUGAGGCACUGCUGAUCUCUCUGGGUCUCUUUUCCCGCAGCUUCACCAUCACAGGCCUCGCCUGGAGUGCUGUGUCCGGUUCUGGGCUCCUCUGUACAAGAGAGAUGUGGAGCUCCUGGAGCUAUGAAGAUGAUUAAGGGACUGAAGCAUCUCUCUUGAGAGGAAAGGCUGAGGGAGCUGGGCCUGUUUAGUCUCGAGAAGACGUGGCCGAGAGGGAACCUCAUCAAUGUCUAUAAGUAUCUGAAGGGAGGAUGUCAAAAGAUGGGGCCCAGGCUCUUCUCGGUGGUGCCAAGCAACAGGACAAGAGGCAAUAGGCAGAAACUGAUGCACAGGAAG